AGCUGGGCUGAGCGCAUUGGUGUUUACAACUAAUUGAUCACAACCAGUUACACAUUUAUUUGUUCCUUCUCCACUCCCAUUGCUUCACUUGACUAGCCUUUA
rnacentral:Y_RNA from 1 species